UCUACAAGUCCUCGGCAUGCCUCGAUGGAGUUGAUGUUCUUGUAGAUCUUGCAUUCAAAAAAGUGGAGGCUUAUGUAUCUGAGGGUGAUUUUCCAUGUUUAGCUCGCUUGGUAACUGGAGUGGGGAACUUCCAUGCACUUAAUUUUAUUCUUGGUAUCCUUAUUGAAAAUGGUCAGCUCGAUCUUCUUCUUCAGAAGUUUUCAGCUGCUGUUGAUGCCAACGAUGCUGACGAGGAAGUAAGAGGAUUCAGAAUGGCUGUUCUCACAUUACUCAAGCAAUUUAAUCCCAAUGAUCUCGAUGCAUUUGCCAUGGUUUAUAGCCGCUUUGAUAUGAAAAAUGAGACUGCUUCUCUUUUGGAGUCACGAGCACACCAAUCUUGUAAGGAGUGGUCCCUCCAUUCUGACAAGGAUCAG
rnacentral:misc_RNA from 1 species